rnacentral:rRNA from 1 species
AUAACGUAGCGAAAGUUACGCUAAUACCGCAUACGAUCUACGGAUGAAAGCGGGGGGACUCGCAAGAGCCUCGCGCGAUUGGAGCGGCCGAUAUCAGAUUAGGUAGUUGGUGGGGUAAAGGCUCACCAAGCCAACGAUCUGUAGCUGGUCUGAGAGGACGACCAGCCACACUGGAACUGAGACACGGUCCAGACUCCUACGGGAGGCAGCAGUGGGGAAUUUUGGACAAUGGACGCAAGUCUGAUCCAGCCAUUCCGCGUGCAGGAUGAAGGCCCUCGGGUUGUAAACUGCUUUUGUACGGAACGAAAAGGUUUCUAUUAAUACUAGGAGCUCAUGACGGUACCGUAAGAAUAAGCACCGGCUAACUACGUG